GCCAAAUAAUGACUUGUUCAUUGUUCCUACAUGCGGCUGAUGGGACUUCCAAAGCAUCAUGGACUUAAUUAUGCAGUUUUUGUCGACCAAAGAGCAAAAACUAUUAUACGUGUUCUUGAAAGUUAACCAGUGCAGGGAGCUGUGUGCCAGGCCCUAUGCAUCAGUCAAGGCACGUGUAUGGGAACUGUUGGGUCACGGCCUGAGCCACUGGUUGAGCACCUGAGGAAAGGACCUGGUCAACCCUGGGAGCACAGGUGAAGGCAGUUCAGCUGUGUGACCAGAAGGGGUGGAGCCUGGCUGCACCUCUCUUAGACCUCCUUGAAGGGCUGACUGCCACUGGGGAAGGAUCUCUUUUUGGAGAUCCCUCCUUGGUGAAGCUUUCCCUGCAAACCUGGAAUCUUCUGAUAUGGUCGGAAUUAAUGCCCACAAAACAUAAAUGAGAAAAAAAGUGUGUACAUCUCAGCCACCUUCAUGCAACAUCUAAUGCCAGGAGAGUGGGUUGAAACUGAAUGGAGACGUGAUCUACUGCAGCAGGUCAGGCACACGUACGUGUUCUGCUCUGCACCCCAAAUCUUUG
ensembl:lncRNA